rnacentral:misc_RNA from 1 species
GUUUUAUUAAUAUAACAAGGCCUGCAGGCUCAUUAUAUACAGGCCCAUGACCUAAGAAACACAAACCUAGAUAAAAAUAGAAUUUAGUUCCAUGCUGAUAGAAGGUUCAAGCACACAAACGAUAAACUCUAGCAGAGGUUGGAUUCAAGACCAAACCCGUGAGUCGGCAAAAGAGAUCUCGUCUUAUCAAGGAGAGAAGUUCAUCGCAUCCCAAAUCGAACGACUUGACUAUCACCAGCCAAAUCAGCAUCGGAGGAAAGAUUGAUUAUGCUAAAGCAUCGCUAGGGACAAACACGGCAGAAACGCAUGCAACCCAAGGAUACGAGCAAACAGUUCGGAGUCCAAAAAAGACUGAGAAGUACCUAACCAUAGAAGUCGAACAACAGAGUAGGCGGCAAAGCUCUGGCCAUCAUCUUUAGGCUUUGAGAGACUAGGUAGCCACUAAAGCAGUGCCAUACUAUCCUUGAAAUCUCCAUCUUCCACAUAAACCUAAAGCUACAACUAAAUCCUAUUAGCAGUUUGAAAAUCGAAACCCUCUCAAAUAAGUUCUAAUAGAGAUCCGCCUAGAGAUGGGAAAGUAAGACUCAUGUCUAGGCUUGAGAAGGAGAACCGUCCCUUGUCUGAAAGGGACAUGGAACAUUUGCUGACCGACAAAUGGAGAGAGCCCCCCAUAACAAAUCCAGGGAAACUUUUCUAUCUAACAAGGAGAGAGAGAGAGACAAAAGUAUAUAAAAG